AUGGCUUUUACUGACAACAGAGAAUUCAAACAAGCACUAGUGAAAUAUGGACUGAAGAAUUUCCAUCAUUUGUUAUUUCCCAAGGAUGAGAAAAGAAGAGUGAGUGCCAAGUGCAGCUGGACUGGAUGCCAAUGGAGCAUUUAUGGUUCAAUAAAUAGCAAGUCUGACUAG
rnacentral:rRNA from 1 species